rnacentral:lncRNA from 1 species
GAAGAGAGAAAUGAGAGAUUGGUUGAAAAGUAGUAUAUGUUAUUAAUUGAUAUAUAGAAAAACUAUUUAAUUUGAAAUUUGAAAUUGAAAUUUUGCCUCCAAAAAGAAAGUGGUUGUGCAUUUAAUGUAAGUGGCACAUGUAUUUUUUUUGAGAAUAUGGAAGGUAAAGGGUAUGUAGGUAAUUUACAUGGAUAUUUCUUUGUUGGAUAGAAGUAGAUGGAUGUUUAGUUAAUAUUAAUAAUUAAUUAAUAAACAAAUAUUAUAUUUUUUCUAAUCACACUCUAAAACACCUUGGUUUUUUUUGAAGAAGUCUAAAACACCUUGGUUACACUUCAAAUUGACUAAAAUACCCUUAAACAUAGUUUGUGUACAUGUGAACUCAGUUUACAUAAUCUUAAAUAAACUAAGUUUAUUUAAAUUAUGUAUAUCGGUCUCAUAAGUAUAGUUCAAAUGCUAACUACCAGUGAUAUUAUUGGAGUAGUCGGGGUUCGAAUUCCGGAUUUCACAUUUCUCCAUAUUUAAAUGUGUGAGUCUUGCUACUAGGCUACUUGAAAAAAAAAUUAUGUAAAUUGAAUUAACGUGAACCUUUUUUUUUUGUACAAACGUGAACCCUUUAAACUGAAUGUAAAUGUGACUGAGUUUACGAAAGGUUGAGUGAAUUGAAUUUAUUCAGGUUAUAUAAAAUUAAUUUAAGUAUGAAAUCACAUGAAAAAAGAAUUCCCUACAAUUGAGAAAGUAUAAAUUCACUAAUCUAUGAAAUAAAGUCUUAGCAAAAUAUCUUUAAAAUUCAAUUUUUCAUAUUGUGAUUAAUGACACAUUAAUGGAGUUUAUGAAUUUGUGAGAGAGAAUGCAUUAAUGAAAUUUAUUAGAGAGAGAAGCCCGAAGCAAAAGCAUAAAAAGAUGAAAAUUGGUUUUUAAAAAAUUAUAUAAAGAAUGACAAUUUUGGUAUUAUGAUUCAAUUUUAAUGAAAUUUGAGUGUAACUAGUUUUUUUGGAUGUAACUAAAAAAAUUUCAAAUAUUAUUAUUGUCGCAAAGAUAAAAUAUCAAUGACACUCACAUAAGAACAUCUCCAAUUGUGUUACUGAUAACUCUGUUAUUAUACGCUAAAAGUGACUUAAUUCAAGGAAGAUUUAGAUGACCUUUUGAUGAUUUUUAAGCUUAGAAUAAGUGGAAUUCAUGGUUUUGAAGAGUUGGUUUAUGUUGGAAGAAACAAGGAAAAACUGUCAAAAAGUGUUGCUGAAGACCUAAAAAGCUGUUAAAAACUGUUGUUGAAGGCCUAAAAACUGUUGCUGAAAGUGUUGCGUCUUGCGCCCCAAAUGCUACGUCUAGCGCAAUUAAGCUAUUUUUUUUUACAUUUUCUCGUUGUUCUCUGCGCGGGAGGGCAGCGCCUAGGCGCAAUGCUGACCUUGUUGACCCAUGUUUGCACUAUUUAAAGAGGAAAACACCCAUUGGAAAGAGGUUACGCAUUUUUGGAUCAAAAUUGAAGAUUGAAGCUCAAUUGGAGUGGAUUCAAGCAAGGAACAAAGGGUGGAAACACUCCAAAACCUCUUGUCAUGAAGAUUUUAUCUCUUCUUCUCCAUGUAAUUUCUACCUUUAAUAUGAGUUUCUAGAUUCUUAGAUUGGAUCUUUAAGGGAAUUUCAUUGUAUUUUGUUUGAACCAUGUGAACUUGAUUCUAUAUGAUUGGAUUAUGAUCUAGUUUUAAUCUUUUAUUCUUU